GGGUCUCCGUUGGUGAACCAGCGGAGGGAUCAUUACCGAGUUAUACAACUCAUCAACCCUGUGAACAUACCUAAAACGUUGCUUCGGCGGGAACAGACGGCCCUGUAACAACGGGCCGCCCCCGCCAGAGGACCCCUAACUCUGUUUUUAUAAUGUUUUUCUGAGUAAACAAGCAAAUAAAUUAAAACUUUCAACAACGGAUCUCUUGGCUCUGGCAUCGAUGAAGAACGCAGCGAAAUGCGAUAAGUAAUGUGAAUUGCAGAAUUCAGUGAAUCAUCGAAUCUUUGAACGCACAUUGCGCCCGCCAGUAUUCUGGCGGGCAUGCCUGUUCGAGCGUCAUUACAACCCUCAGGCCCCCGGGCCUGGCGUUGGGGAUCGGCGGAAGCCCCCUGUGGGCACACGCCGUCCCUCAAAUACAGUGGCGGUCCCGCCGCAGCUUCCAUUGCGUAGUAGCUAACACCUCGCAACUGGAGAGCGGCGCGGCCAUGCCGUAAAACACCCAACUUCUGAAUGUUGACCUCGAAUCAGGUAGGAAUACCCGCUGAACUUAAGCAUAUCAAUAG
rnacentral:rRNA from 1 species